UCGGGGCGCGGGCGGGGCUGGCGGCGGCGCGGUACGCCGCGACGGCCGGGCCGCCGGACGGCGCCGCGGUCCGGGCCCAGGGCGCCGAC
rnacentral:tRNA from 1 species